GCGAGUGUCGUGUUAUCCACAGGGACUAGGCCAUGGCUACUAGUGUUUAGCUAAAGCUAGGUCAAACAACAAUUGAGAACAAAGAAAAAAAAUAGAAAUAAACAACAGGAGAACUCGGAAGAAAUUAAACAGGAUGAAGAAGAAAUUAACUAUCGCAGGAUCUUAAUACUCUCAUAUAUCAUAACCAGAGAUUCAUGCAUUUGACUAGCACUGACAGAAAUUACAAGCUCCAAAUAUUAAAUUCUUAACAAAUCUGAAACAGUACAAGUAGGAGGAAGAAGAUAGAAAUCGUGCAGUAAGAAGGAAAAAGAAGAAGGGGAAGAAGAGGAUGCAGCAGCAACAGGUUACAGAUCAGUUGUCAAGGAAGUAGUAGAGGAAGAACAGUAGCAGUAGCAGAUUAGGUUGUCUCCACUGUCCCGGUCGAUUUGGAAGAGCUGCAGGAGGAUGUAUAUGACGUUUUCAGGCGAAUUGGAGCAACUUUCUGGUGGGAGGGGAUGUGGAGUAGCUGGAGAUGGUGGCUGCCGACGAGGUUAGGCCUGGCCCUCGCUGGUGCCGGAGCUAUAGAUGGGAUGGGGAAGAAGGAGAAGGGAGGAGAUGGCGAGGAAGAAGAGAAGGGGAGAAAGAAAAUGCCAGGCCCAGUUGUACAGUAGCAUUUCUAGGGAUUUUAAUCCCCAUCGAUUUGGUUCGCUCUUUGGCACUUUCAACCUUCAUCUCCCCAGAAAUUAUGUUUAGGUCCUUGCUUCACUUGACUUCUUUUGUCUUGCCACACAAAAACUGACAUUUGUUUGCCGUUGGAGACCAAAAUAGCAGAUUACGCGCCUCAUCGCGCCAUUCUGUAGAAAAGUUAAAUAAUGUAUGAAACCAUAUAAAAGGGACAUAUUGUACCACAAAUAAUGUCUGAAAUAUGCAUUAGGAUUAAUUUUAGCCCAUCACAAUAGCAAAACAAGAGGAAGAUCAUGAGAUUAAUGAUGCAAAAUUUGAUUGUAUCAUACCCCCAUGCUUAAACAUUUGCUUGUCCUCAAGUAAAUGAACAAUAAGUUUCGAGAACCAGGAAGAAGCAAUGUGGUAAACAAAAACUAGUCAGAUGAAUGUGAUAAGUCUCAUGGCAUACAUUUAGUGAACUUUAACAUCAUGUAGAUUAGCUUGAAGUUAGCUUGAACUUACAAAAUUAACCAUACUGAGUUUGAAGCAUACAGAACAUAGCUAGCCAUGUCAAGUAAAGGAGGUAGGCAUACUUAAAUGCAAAGGAUAAAAAUGAUACUAAGAUAUAAGAACCCAAGCAAAUCAUGGAUAACUAAGGUAUCUAAAGAUCCUCAGGCUAAAACAUGAUGUUAACCAAAUUUUGCAAGGCAUUGAAGUUAGUCAUAACAUCAAGAAUGAAAAUAUCAAAGCUUAUGCAUAGCUAUUCGAGGUAAAGAUUCUAAAACUCAUAAUCUUUGCGAACAAGUCCAAACUUGAACCUUGAUACUCAAUUUAUUUAAAAAGCAUUUUGGAACACUGGGCACAUGUGCCACUUACCGUUGGAACGACAUAAUCAUUAGUCGGACACCUCAACCCUAAUGCGAUGGCGGGCGCGCAUCAGGUUGCGUGCAUGUGCUAGUGCUGGUCGUGAUUACUGUAUACUUCUUUUGGGGAAGCAAUUCACAAACACUAGCUAAUUACUACUACUCUGUGCAUCUGCCAUGCAUGACAUGACAAGUGCUUCUCACUCAUGCACCCAUAGAUUAUGAAUGCCUAUCCUUUUGGUCACACAUAACUACAAACUCCUCUAUAAUUGCGUGCUUAGCUAUACGACAUGAUGUUGUUAUUGUAGCUAUACUCAGUGGUUGGGCUGGUACCUCAGUAUCUUAUAUUAUUAUACUAUUUUUUACAUGUCAAAAUAUGACUAUCUAUAAUAGUACCUCGAAAGUAUCGUAAAGCAUCUAUCAUGAUACAUGUGGGUAGCAAACCAAGCACAUAUCAGCCGGUAUAUGUGGGUCUCAGUUUUAACAUAUACCUAGUAUGAUACCAAGGUAUCACGUAUGAUACCUAUUAGCUCUAGUAUUUGUGGUACUAAGCAUGAUACAUAUAUGUAUUAGGUUGAUACCCAUAGGUACCGGGUCUGAUACUUAUAUGUACUAGACAUGAUACCUAGGUACCGGUCGUGAUACAUGUAGUUACCAAGUCUGAUACUUUUAAGUACCGUACAUUAUACCCAGGUAUCAGUCGUAAUACAUGUAGGUACCAGACAUGAUACAUGUAGGUACCAGAUCUGAUACUUAUAUAUGUACUAGACAUGAUACCAGGUACCGGUCGUGAUACAUGUAGUUACCAAGUCUGAUACUUAUAAGAACCGUACAUUAUACCCAGGUAUCAGUCGUGAUACAUGUAGGUACCAGACAUGAUACAUGUAGGUACCAGAUCUCAUACUUAUAUAUAUGUACUAGACAUGGUACCUAGGUACCGGUCAUGAUACAUGUAGUUACCAAGUCUGAUACUUAUAAGUACCAUAAAUGAUACCCAAAUAUCGGUCGUGAUAUAUGUAGGUACCAGACAUGAUACCUAGAUAUAUAAGACUCAUAUACUCACGCUAUUUUACCUUGAAACAGGACCGUUCAUCAUCAGGUCACAUAGGAUCACAUAUAGCAAUAGAGAAUCAAGUCAUUUUCUCUUGCUCAUGGGCACUGGCAAUUUUAACUUCGAUUUGAUGCAUAUGGCAUCAUCAAGGCAGGAGUAGUAUUAGACCGUCAGACAUCGACAAUAGUAGACUAGUAGUGCAUGUACUCCUCCUCCAGUACUACUAGUGCAUGCAGUAGUAUAUGGCAGUCAGUAGUAUAGUACGUAGUACUACUAUACUAGUACUGCAUGCGCAGAGAGUUAAUCCGUGGGUCUCGUGGGACCCAUGCGGGAGGAGAGAUGGGUAUCCUCCAGUACUACUAGUGCAUGCAGUAGUAUAUGGCAGUCAGUAGUAUAGUACGUAGUACUACUAUACUAGUACUGCAUGCGCAGAGAGUUAAUCCGUGGGUCUCAUGGGACCCAUGCGGGAGGAGAGAUGGGUAGUUUAUCGCGAUGCUGGGUUGGACGGUUUGAUAUCGUGCAUAACUUGUACCGUCCUGACGGUAUGCCGUUUUAUAGCUUUUUAGAUGAAUUAUACAGUCAAAUAGAAGUUAUACCGCCACUGCAAGUUCUCCUUGAAACUUGGAUUUGUUCCCUGAAAAUAUGUCAUGGAAUAAGAGGACAACAAUAAUCAUAUUACAGCAGGUCAAUUCUUGUUUACAGAUUACAAUGUGACCUUCAAAUCAAGCAAUUCCCAAGCUGCUUUACAUGAAUUACAUGACCUUUUGCAUCCAAACAAAUAGGACAGGAAAACAAUAUCGCGCUGGCAAUGUUGUCAGCCUAAUCCCAGUAAAUUCCAAGGCUUUACAGCUAACAAACACUAGUUUUUUGUUGCAUCUACAUCUUACAAUGAACGGAAGCAUUCUCCUUCCACUACAAUCCGAUUGCGAGCAGCUUGUUUGAUCUCUUGUUUAUCAGAAAGCUUACAUUGUUAUCAUCAAUGUCCGUGAUAGCAACUAGUAGAAAUGAUGUUACUCGCUAUGGCAUUCAGAAAGAAGAGAGUUUUGUCCAUCAGUAAACAUCUUAACAUGACAGAGCUUUCCUCCAGUUUCAUCGGCAAAUGUUAUCUUCUUUCGUUUUCUUGGAACUUCAGAAUGAGAAACAGCCUUCUUCCCUGCUAAUCUCUGGCAUUGAACAUUUAAAUUGAAAAUGUCAGUCGAGUUCAGGAAAACACUCAAUACUCCAAAGUUAGCAUACAAACUUAAAAGCAGAUACCAACCAGUAUUUUACAAAAGCGAUUGCAAUCUUUGUUCAUUAUUGUCAACCAUUUCCUUGUAGUUCUCUCCACCUCUAAUGCAUCCUCAGAGGCUGCUCUGAUCUGCGCAAGAGAAUUAUAAGAUUGCUGUCAAAUAAAUAUCAAGGUAGAUUUGCUUCACUCUCAGCUAAGACCAGAUUGGCAGCAAACAAAUCUAUAGGCUCAACUCUCAAAUCUUCUCAUUUUUCAUAUUAUGAACAAGACUACCAGGAAGCUACUGCUCAUCAUGGUUAAUAUCAAUUUCAACAAUCUUAUCAUAUCAGAGUUAGUUCACAAUUUCUUAUGGCAAAUAAAGUACUACUCCCUCUGUUCCACAUUAUAAGAUGUUUUGGCCUCCCCAUCCCUAGAUUCACUAACAUCCAUAUAAAUUUGGACACAUAUAUGAAGCACAUACAUAGAUCCAUGCAUGAAUCUAUUCAAAACCCAAAAUGUCUUAUAAUGUGAAACAUGGAACUUUUUUGAAAGUUAGGAGUAAUCACUAGUUGAAAACAGAUGAAAAGUUACACCUGCACUAUUAAUAGGACAAAGGUAUGAAGUACAUAUGUUAAGUGUUGAUAAGCCAGUCAGGAAUAUGCUCCUUUUUAGGAAUAGUCUAUUUGACAACCCUGAACUUUCAAAGACUAAAAACAACUUGAACUUCUAUACUGUGCACUUGUUCGAACCUGAACUACUAUUAAAAAUAGAGUUGUUUUUUGGACAUUCGUGAAAUGCGGUUGUAAGAUGGGACAUAAUUCCUUGUAUGACAGUAUAACUGCAGAUUAGUCCACGGUGAUUCUAUGCAACGAGACUCUUGUACUGAUCCUACAAUAUAAUAGCUGGUCCACAAGCUUAGAUAGGUACUUAUGUGAUAUUUACAUAAAAAUAACUAAGGCGCUAAUGAAGUGCAAACACAAAUGCAGACUCUUAUGUUUAUGGGGUAUCUGAAAUUUCCUGCGGAACUUUGGAUAUCCAAGUAAGGAUUCUUCAACCAGUAUUAAUAUUUGAACUAGAAUUAUUAUACUGAGAAAUAUAUUUUUGUGCUCCAGUGUCUAACAGUGUGACUUCAUUUCUUUAGCUAAUGAAAACUCAACUUUAUACUUCUGCCCUACCUAUUAAAGUGUGUACGGUGUAACUUCAUGAAUCAUGAUUACUACAGCCUAGCUAUAUUCUAGAAUCAUCAAUUAAUCACAGAGCAGCAAAAUUAAAUGCAACUCAAAAUAGUAUGCUCAAAUUCCAUUUAUUAAUACUCACCUCAGCAGUGUUGAAAGUAGGUAGCAAAGAAUGUGAUUCUGAUAACAAAUUUCCGUCUACUAUACUUCUCAUGUGAUUCAAGCUUCUCAUAAGUUUGGAUGCAAUGUUUUCUAUAUCAUGCAUUUGCCUUUGUGAAAACUCAACAGCCUUCUCGGCGUCCAAUAUAACUGAAGCAGCUUUCAUGCAAGUACAAGUAGUCUUUUGGGGGGAUGGGGAUUCUGUUCCCUUCAGAAUUCCUUUGCUUGUAGGGGAGAGGGAACUCCUGCCAUUGGGUCUCCUCGUCUUGCCACAAUCUUCAAGAAGGAUCUUUCUCUCUGAAAGAAUAAUGGCCGCAUCAAUAAUGGGAAAUAGUAUUAACUACUCUUAUAAAAAAUAUUAGAAACACUACAAACAGCAUAGAUUGCUUACUGAGCCUUUGGACCCCGCACAAAUCAAUACCAGUCAAAGCACUGCAAAGCUUCUCCUGAGAAGUCGGGGACAUAAUCUUAAAAAAAAUAAAAAAAGGGAAAAUAAGUAUGGCAGAUUUAUUCAUACAUUUUUUGUUUCAAGGUUAGGUUAAAACAAUGAGAGCAGACCUUUCUCUUGGACAGCAGUUUUUUUGGAGCAUGCUCUUCAAGAGCUCCUUCAUCAAUGAAAGGUUGUAACUUUUCACUUUGUCCAUCAGUAUCGAGAGAGGCUGCAGUUGAAUCCAAAGACCCAGCAGGCAUUUCCUGUGUUUCUUCAGGACUCGAGCUCUCUGAUGUUACACAAACUUUGUCCAAGUCAGAACAAGAUUGUAAUAACUGCGGCUGAAGGCCAAAUUGUUCUCUUGAUCCUUGAUCACUGUUAGUUUUACAGAUGUCAUCAUCCACUGUAACCUUUAACUGAUCUGUAUCCUUUGAUAACCACUCUGUAACACAAGGAAGUAAGAGCUGACCACCAUGUGGAGCUUUGGAUCCAGUGGGUUCUCUGUCAGUGCCCUCACUUACGAAUGGGCUUGAAAUGAUGGCAGCACCUGAGACACCAACAGGAGUUUCAGUUUCAGUACUCUUCCUCUGUGCAUGAUUAUUCAGAGCAUCAUAUACUAUACUUUCUAGCCGUCCAUCUUGUGUGGUAAAAUUGGCAGCUUUCACUGAGUCAAGAGUCUUGUUAAAAGCAAAAGUGCAAUCGAUAGUUGCAUGUCCAACAUCAAUAGGUAAUACAUCCUUUGUUCCAACACUGUGCUGAACUAGUGAAUCAAAUUGACCAUCUGCCUUCAUCUGCACAACCUCUGCAAGCGACGUGAAGUUGCUUUCUGCACUUCCACAUAAAUCAGAUUGGAUGACCACGGAUGGAGACCCCACCUCUGCGUUACACUGAUCAGUAGAACUUUCUAUAGUCUUUGUGCUUUCCAGUGUACUGCCAUGUAGAUCUCGUGGAUACCAGUAUUCAUCAAUGUCUAUAUGAUCUUCACAAGACAUAUUAACAGAACAUACCAAAUAAUCAUUGACAACUGAAGACUUGUCUUCAUCUAAAUUUGUUAUAUUGCCUGAUGUUUUAUGGCAGUUGCUCAUUUCAUCAGUGAUAUCCAAUGAAGAAAGACUGUCAUUUGUCUUGUUUUGCAGUAUAAUGUCAUCCAAACAGUAUGCUUUGAUACUGUUAGCUAGCUCACAGGAAUCAUCAGAAACAUCCUUUAGUUCAAUCGGUUGAGGGAUGACACCACUGUGUUGUUGACAUCCAUCAUACUCUAUUGGCUCCCUAUGCAACUCAGCAAAUGAGUCCUGAAAGGAGUCCUUUCCUGGACUAGAUACUCCAACUUGCUCAUCAGAGUAAAUAUCCUCAUCCUCAGUCUUGAUUUCGCAAAAUAUGUCUGGGCUUCUACCACUUAUUACAGCACCAGUUGAUAAUGGUGUGUUUUCCAUUUCAGCAUAUAAAAUGUUCUCCCCAACUAUUUCUUCAGUAUUACCUGAAAAUAAAGAACAUACACAGCAUUUACAAUAUGUUUGAAAAAAAGGAACCUAAGUAGGUCUAUUUCAAGAAAAAUGUACUGGCGAAAAUAAGAGGUUUUGCAGAUUCAUCUGCUACAUCCAGUUCAUUCAUAUGUUGCAUCUAUACUGAAAAAAGGGUAUUUGUAUUGAAAGACUGCAGUAUGUUUGGAUAAGAAAAGACUCACCAGCAGCAAUUGUGGAGUGUUUUACAUCUGCAGCACUCCUUUCCAUCUUCUCUGCAGUUGACAUAGAGUCAUGUGAUGUUACCUCAAGUGGGGGUAAUUUUAUAGGCUCAGUCUCCUCUCUCCUCAAUGUUGUAUCUUGCAGUUUUACAGCAUUUAGAGAUAUUGGUUUGCCCAUUGUUCUGUUUGAUUUGGUAGGGGAUGUCUUCUGCCGCUUCUGUCUGAAUGCAAUAAUGGGCUCAUCAAGAUCAACUUCCUCUUUUGGUACUUCAUCUUCAAGGUUUCUCUUUCCACAUUGUCUCUGAUUCUUAAAGUCAGGUCUUUCAGAAUCAACUUUCAAGGCCCUCCUGUUCUUAGCUUUACACUGAGCUCUUAAAUCCUUCAGAGACACAUUCUGAAAGUCUUCGUCACCAACAGAAUCAUCAUUAAAUUCUGGGUUGGAAGGAGAUGCAAUUUCUUCAAGAUCGAUGACCUCAGUUUUGACAGGCCCCAAGGUAGGAUAGUUCGUUUCAGAAUGUUCACCAUAUAUAACAUGGAUAUUCUUGAGCCUAGGAGAUCGCCUAGGAGAAAUCAGGUUAGUCUUUUUGCAAGCAGCACCAGGCAUUGUCACUUUCAAGUAGCAGACUACAGAUUCAAACUUGUAUCGAAAUCAACUUGGCAAUUGUAAAUGUCAAAAAGUUUCCUGCAGGAGUGAAGAAAACCAGAUGUUAUGACCAAAUGUAUGCACAAUAGAUGAAUAACAGAAGCCAUAUUAUCUUUAAGAUGAAACAUAUUCUUUUUCUAGAUGAAACAGGGUCAUAUUCAAUUAAAGCACUAGAGCAGGAUAAUAGGCAAAUCGUGUCAUUACGAAAUCAUAAUAUAUGCUGGGACAUUAUCAUUAGCUCUCCUAUUUCCCAUCAUAGAACAGAAAAAUAAGGUGCACAUAUUAUAAAAAUAACAGGAAAAAAAGACAUAGAAAGUAGCAAGUGGUUUUGCAAUAAUCAAUUUUGUGAUUACACAGGAAUGCUUCUAAUAAACAUACGGGAAACUUAGUGCUAGAGUGAAUCAAUAAGGCUUCGUUCAGCAACAAGGGGGGAGGGGGGGGAUUUCCCCAGGGAGAUUCACCCAAGGGGGGGGGAUUGGGUUAAUCCCCUCCCACCACCCAAUCCCCUUUCACCCUGAGAUUUGCAUUUCACAUGUUUGGAACGUGGGGAUUAGGGGAUGACUCUGGAGUAACAUUUAAGUAUAGAAGUUACAAACUUUAAAGAUUGUGUUGUAAAAAAUUCAAAUUGCAAUAAAAAAAUCAGGUUUGAAAUGAGUCUAUAGGGAUUAACGAUAGCAUUGCAGAAAAUUCAAAAUAUUGUAUGGUACAAUUCAAAAUUUCUUUGGAAAAUCAGCAAAUUUCUGAAAACACCCUAGAAAAUUUGAAUGAGUGUGCGCCAUCACAUCUGACAUGCUUUUUUAAAAAAAUACAGUAUCAGGUAUAAGCAAUGUUAAUAUACUAAAUCUGUAGGAAUUGAAAUCAGGCACUUACAUAUAACCUUCUCUAUCAAAAAGUAAAGGAUUCCUCUCUACAACAAAACUAGAGUCCCAUCUGGUUCCUCUCAAAAGUGCUGACCGCAAAACUAAGAUGAAGAGUCCCUCGAUGUCCUUGCCGGAUCUUGCAGGGAGAGAGUGCGUGCCGCCGGAUCUUGUAGCGGGGCAGGGGCAGGGGCACGUGGCGGCAGAUCUUGCACGGAGGGGAGGAGGCAACAAACCCGUAAGUAAGCUUCUUGGCGGAGGAGGAGGGCAGCGCCAUGGAGAGGGAGUAAGGGCGUACCUGGAGGCUGGGCGGCGGAUCUGGACAGCGCGCCGUACAACGGUCGAGAGGGGCGAUGUAAUUUGCAGGGAUGGGAAGCGGCGGCGGCGGCGGCGGUAGUGGGGGAAUGGAGGCGGUGGCUGGCGCUGGUGGAGGGGAGGCGGCGGCGGCGGAUGAGGCGGAGGCGGCGUUCUUGGCGGCAGAGAAGGGAGGGAGUUUGUGGAAUGGAAUUUUGAGUACUAGGGUUUUUCCUCCCUACUGCUGGGCUUCCCGUUCGGAGGCACUGUUUUUAUUAUUAUUAUUGCGUUGCGGCGCCCAGCGCCAGGUGGAAGUGGAAAAAGAAGGGGAGGGAAAUUUUGGCGCCAGCUAGAGCCUAGAGGAGGAGAGGGUUGGCGGGAAGGAGAAGCAAAAUUGCGUGCCCGCCCGCUCCUCCUCCUCCUCGAUCAGGUUUCGUUUUAGUACUAAACUAAAAUUACCGCGUCAGGUAGCGCGCCCGUUAUUUCAUACCCCCACAUGGCCAUAUAUACUUGUUUCUCCUUUCUGCUAAUAGGUUAAACAAGUUUAUAUGAAAAUGUAGAGACAGUUUUAAAACCCAAAAAUAUAUUCAAUGGUGGUGGUGUAAACUACGUUUUUCUAUUAACUCGGUCAAAAUCAAAAUACUUUAACUUAGAAAAAUGCCAUGCAUUCUAAAACAAAUGUAUUAUCUUGGCAUCUAAUUUGUAUUAGCUUCUAAUAGGCUAUUAAAUAAAGUAUUCAGUGGUUUUAUUGCGUGACAAACUUCUGUAGUGCUGCUCCCAAAUCGAAAGGCAUUUUCACUUUGAUGUUCUGUGCUGCAAUUUGAUGGUGGGAUGUCGCGUCCUAAAAUCACCCUAAAAUUUUAUCGCCUAAAAUUUUUUCGUUGAAUUAUUUCUAGAAAUUGAAAAAGUCAAAAAUAGCCUUCAACAAUUAAAAAUCAUCAAGUUUCAACUCAAAUUUGUGUGCGGGGAUUUUUUUUUAAUUCCUCAUGCUUGAAAUUAUUUAAACAAUUUUUAAUUGAAUUUCAGAGCAUUAUAAAUAUUUUUAACCUUUCUUAGUUUUUAUUAAAAGAAAAACUAAAAUAAAUUUCCCUCCCUCUCCUUGGGCCAUUUUCAGCCCAUCUCUUCCUCUAUCUUUCUCCCUCCGGGCCGCCCCGGCCUGCUUUUCCUCUCCUUCCUCCUUCCACCGUCGGCCGCGCCUACCCCCUUCCCAAUCCAGCUGAGCCGCCAGCCCACUACCUCCUCGCGCCGCCUAUCAUGCUGACCAGCCCGAGCCGCCCCCUCCCCAGCCCAGCCGAGCCACUGCUCCUGUUGCACGUGAGGCUGCCACGCCGCACGUGCGAUGCACGCGCACAACGUCGUGGGUCCCGCCUGUCCGAGGUGUCUCCUACCUCCAGUCGGCCCUGUCUCUCUCUCUCGUGAACUCAAGCGUCGCCGCCCCCUUGAUUUCCCUCCUCAGUUGGUUUCCAAAAACCGGUUUCUUGUGUAGUGGACAUCAAUUCCCCCCAACAAAUCCCACUUAAUCCCGCACUAAAUCGCACUCAAUCGAUUUCUUUAACCGGUGUCUUCAAUAGGGAGUUUCACUGUCGCUGGUGCCGUUUCCCAUCCUCACGGCAGACCGAGCAAGUUUAAUAGUAUAGUCAACUACUAGCUCCAAUUCAUCUAUAGCCAAUCUAACAGCUCAUUUAUACAGUAGUUACAUACUACACUAUUAAUAUCUGGUCCCACCUGUCAUACACACACUAUGUCUUGGAGUCCGUGUUAUAGCUGGCUACAAAUCUGUAGCCCGCUACUCUUUUCUCUUCUCAUUUAUCUACUUAAAGUAUGUUUGCAACUGGCUUAUAGCCUGCUAUUGUACUUGCUCUAAAGGGAACCCGCAAGACCUCCUCCUCCUCCCAUUCCCUGUGCCGCUCGAGCGCCAUGCUCGCUCCAUCGCCGUCGCGCCACUUCUCUUCGAGUACUGCCGCCGGCAUGCGCUCCAGCCGCCGAGGCUUGGCAUCGGCAGGUACUUCGCCAAGCCUUGGUUAGGCCACCGCCGGCUUUUCCGUCUCCUCUCCCUCGCCCACGUCGCAGGAUUUAGAGUAAAGGUGUCAAUUAAAUAGGUGGUUCACUAUACAAUUUUUAUUGUGUUAACUAGCAUAUAUAAUAUAGUUUUAAUCUCGAUCAAAUUUUUAGGUGGUCUAUAGACCACAGUGCCACCUAGCUAGCUACGCCACUGCCACGUCGUCUCCAAGCUCGGCAAGCCCUGGAGCUCCAUCCGCGACGUCAACCCGAGCCGGCCACUUCUUCUUCCUCGUCGCCCUCACUGUUGUCACCGUCCCCGCUACUCUGGUGAGCCCUGCCGCCGCCCUCACCUCUCCCGUGUCGCGCCGCUGCGCCAUGGCUGCCGGUGGAGACCAGUUGCCAUGUCCUCAUCAGUCAGUGUCAUCUAUCUCCCUCCCCAUUGUUUCUCUGUUUCUCCCCCUCUAUCUCUCUCUCUCUCCUCUUCUCUUCUCUGUUACAGUACAGAGUAGACUUUUUUUUACAAAAUUAAUUCACAAAUUUGUAAAAUGCCAUUCAAAUAACACCUAAAAUUCAAAUGGCUAUAUCUUGACUAUUUGAGCUCGGAAUCGACCCGUUCAAUUUGCCAUUUUUUCCCUUAAACAGUAAAAAACCUAUUUUUAUGCUUUGUUUAUGCAUCUUAUGGUUUUAAUUUAUGUUUUGGCCAUUUUUCUUUGCGUAUGCCGUGUAGACUCUGCAAAUCCGGAAGAGCCGCUCUACCUCGAGGUUGAUCCAAAAUAUUUUGGUAGCGAGCAAGGCAAGUCAUGUCAUUUUGAUCAUAUUGCUGUCCCAAUUUACAAAAUUAUGUUUAUUUAAAUUAUUGCAUUUCGUUCUAUUAAAUUCAUGUGCUUAUCACUGUUUUAUUUAGCCUGACCAAUUCUCCUUGUUAUAGCCUUAUUAUUUGUAUUAUUACAAUCCUUGAUUAACCCUAGGAAAAAUAAAACUAGUGAGAACAUUAUAUGUGGUGCUUACUAGUAAAUUUAGGAAUAUGCUUAGCUCUGCUUAAAUAGAAACAUUAGAUGUUUUUCAAUAAUUAGACUUUGGGAAUAACUUUUAAAUAAUGGUUAAUAUAGUUUAGUGGGUGUUUAGCCAUGACAUGAUAUUUCCCCUUCAAAAAUCCCCAAACAUGUUUUCGGCUAGGCUCGGGGUGCUUGGUUUCGCUAUUCACACCUUGGCCGUCAUAAGGAACGGUCUUCGGGGCCUCUCUUGCAAAGCAUAUUCCGUACAACCACAUGUCUAAUGAGUAAGACUUAACACAUCGUCUAGUACGGUCAUAAACAAGGAAAGACACUGAUAGGGAUGGAUGAAGCCCUUGAUGGGGGUCGACGUCUCUAGCUGUAUGCCGGGGGCAUAGACAUCUACUCGACCUAAGGCACAUAGCGAGGGAAGUCUAUGUCGGUCCUCUUUGUUUAGAGCAGUACUAAAUGAUGGGUUAUGUCAUGGCUUCUAUCCGUGCCAUGGUGGCAUGUGGCACAUGGCAACAUGUGAGGAAGACGUGCCUGGUGGGUAACGAUGUACACCUCUGAUUAGAGUAUAAUCUAUUCGAAUAACCAUGCCCUCGGUUAUGAGCAAGUCGAGCAAUGUACCCAAGUUAGAGUUUAUUUCUAUUAAAAUUUGAAUAACUGGGGUUAUCACUUGUUGGCCUGGGUUAAGGCAAGAUCGUGUUGAAGCGUGGCUUGGUAAUAAUUUGACUAUAGAUAGGUUUGUGUUUUAUUUAAAUGCAUUUAAAUAUGUACUCCCCAUGUCCUAUAAUAUAAGGGAUUUUAGAUGGAUGUGGCACAUCCUAGUAAAAAAAUCUGGACUUGGACUUGGAUGGAGGAGUAAAUGCUUUGAAAUGCUAGUUUUCUGCAACAUAGCCUUAUAAAUAAAUUUUUUGCCACCGUUAAUUCAUAAAGGAUAAUUUAGGAAAAAAUAUUAUUAAUAAGAAUAGCUUAGUAAUUGAUCCAUCACCAAUUCUCCAUCCACUGCCUAGCGUUCACGAUUUCCUUUUCUCGAUUCCAGUUUUUAACCCUAAUCAAUUCCAAAUUUCCAAUCCCAAUUAAAUGAGCUCGGAGGCAAGGAGUAGGGGCUGCGCGUGCGACGGCGGUGACUAGCAAGCACGUGCGAGGCGGCGAUCGGCUGGCGCAAGCAGUGGUUGUGACCAGCGGGUGUGACGGGUGCUGCGGCGGCGGUGAUGACAACCGGCUGCCGCAUACGUCGGCUGCGACGGGCGCGUGCAGCGGCGGAGACGGUGACCGAGUGCUACAUUAGUCUGCUGUGACCGGAGGGCGCAUACGGCAGCAGCGACCUCAGCACGUGUGCAGCGGCUGAGACCGGUGGGCGCGUGCAGCCUCGGUGAGCGGCGGGCGCGUACAGCGGUUGCAGGUGUGCAGAUGUAUAUGCACAUAUCGGUAAAAGUAUUACAUAAACGUUUAACUACAGAAAGAAGCACAACGUUCUUCCUCCUUUGCUGCAUGAAUGCAGCUUGUCUUGAAACAGAUAGGAGUAGGAUACAGAUCUAAAAAUAAGACGAUUUUGUCCUUAGCCGUACAAAUCAAUUAUAAAAUUCAAUUAUCAUUUUAACCUUCUACCUUCCAUACCUGGCAUACCCUUUUAAUAUCUUUCUCCUAGUACCUUCUCUCUUAGAGCGUUAGAUCAUUAGAAAUCAACGAUCCUAAUUAAUUUCCAAGCACAUAAGAAUAUCUCGUUUUAAGAACACUGGUGGAGAAACCAUAUUUGAUUGGUCGACCCAAAUCUACAAUAGUCCCGGUUCUAUUCCAACAACAGGACUAGAUGAUCUUUAUUCCCGGUUUGUGUUACCAACCGGGACUAAAAAUCAUCUUUAGUCCCGGUUGGUAUUUUUAGUCCCGGUUGAUUCCAUGUCAGACCGUGUCAGGCACCUAGGGUCUUUAGUUCCAGUUUGAAACACCAACCGGGACUAAAGAUCUAACUUUAGUCCCGGUUGUUGUUACUAACCGGGAAUAAAAAUCAACACGUACUAUAUAAUCCCUAUUACUUAUCCUCUUCUCUCGUCCACACAACAAACUCUAUCUCUUUCUUUCUUUAUUCCUCUCUAACUCCUGCCUUAUCUCUUUCUUCCUUCCUCUCUUUUUUUGUGGAUUGAGCGAGAUCGAGGGCC
rnacentral:lncRNA from 1 species